rnacentral:tRNA from 1 species
CCCUCUGUAGCUUAGUGGUUAAAGCGCUUGGCUGUAGCCCGAGAGAUCCCCGGUUCGAAUCCGGGCGGGGGGA